AUUGAACGCUGGCGGCAUGCCUUACACAUGCAAGUCGAACGGCAGCACGGGUGCUUGCACCUGGUGGCGAGUGGCGAACGGGUGAGUAAUACAUCGGAACUUGUCCUGUAGUGGGGGAUAGCCCGGCGAAAGCCGGAUUAAUACCGCAUACGAUCUACGGAUGAAAGCGGGGGACCUUCGGGCCUCGCGCUAUAGGGUUGGCCGAUAGCUGAUUAGCUAGUUGGUGGGGUAAAGGCCUACCAAGGCGACGAUCAGUAGCUGGUCUGAGAGGACGACCAGCCACACUGGGACUGAGACACGGCCCAGACUCCGACGGGAGGCAGCAGUGGGGAAUUUGGAAAAAGGGGCGAAAGCCUGAUCCAGAAAGGCCGCGGGUGUGAAGAAGGCUUCGGGUUGUAAAGCACUUUUGUCCGGAAAGAAAUCCUUGGCUCUAAUACAGUCGGGGGAUGACGGUACCGGAAGAAUAAGCACCGGCUAACUACGUG
rnacentral:rRNA from 1 species